GUGUGGUUCCUUUAAAACUGGUUCCACAGCAACAUGCUGCAGAAACCUUACAAGAGCUUAAAGGAGACUUGGGUGUCCAUGAGGGAGACAUUUUGAUGCCGGUGGACAGGAAUGCUGUGGAGAGCCUCUGGGAGAACGCCAUCGUCCCUUACACCAUCAGCAGCACGCUGGCCAUUCAAGAGUCGAACAUCCUCAGUGCCAUCAAGAUGAUAACUGCUGUCACCUGCAUCCGCUUCAUACCACACACCACAGAGUUCAACUCCCUGCUCU